rnacentral:rRNA from 2 species
AUUGAACGCUGGCGGCAUGCCUUACACAUGCAAGUCGAACGGCAGCGCGGGAGCAAUCCUGGCGGCGAGUGGCGAACGGGUGAGUAAUACAUCGGAACGUGCCCAAUCGUGGGGGAUAACGCAGCGAAAGCUGUGCUAAUACCGCAUACGAUCUACGGAUGAAAGCAGGGGAUCGCAAGACCUUGCGCGAAUGGAGCGGCCGAUGGCAGAUUAGGUAGUUGGUGAGGUAAAGGCUCACCAAGCCUUCGAUCUGUAGCUGGUCUGAGAGGACGACCAGCCACACUGGGACUGAGACACGGCCCAGACUCCUACGGGAGGCAGCAGUGGGGAAUUUUGGACAAUGGGCGAAAGCCUGAUCCAGCCAUGCCGCGUGCAGGAUGAAGGCCUUCGGGUUGUAAACUGCUUUUGUACGGAACGAAACGGCCUUUUCUAAUAAAGAGGGCUAAUGACG